rnacentral:misc_RNA from 1 species
GCAAAUUUAAAAAAAAAAAACCAGGCCCGCCAGACCAGUUUAAAUGAAACUUCAACAACAGUUUGACUCACAAAUCAUAUCCAAAGAGUGCUUAUGAACUGCACAUGAAUAUAUACCUACUUAACAAGCCCACUAAUGACCACACUUUACUUCAAAAGAAGUUCAUAUAUGCCCACGAAUUCAAAAGGAUAAUCUUCACACGUAUCAACCUUGAGAUAUCAAGAUUCAAGAAAACUACCAAUAUUAGGCAAGACAAAGCUAGCUCCGAAAACUGUUGGCAUUGGGCAUUUGAUUAUAAAAAAUGCUUAACUAGAUUUUCAGCUUUUAAUUUCCAAUAAAUACAGAAAAAUCAUCAUACAUUCAUGAGAAUGAGUUUAUGUUCCAUUCCUGCAAUACUAGCAAUCACUAUGCAGAAUGAACCAACAAUAAGAUAAUCAAAGUUGAAAAAUGAAAAGGCACGUUCAAGCAUAUCCCACCUUAAAUUAUUUUAUUUCGAA